rnacentral:sRNA from 1 species
CCGAGGUCACCGCCUAAGAAGCCCCAGUGCUUCGCCGGGGACCCACACACGUUAUCCGGGGUGAAUCGCCGGAGGCUCACGCCUCCGGGGUAGGGCAUCUUCCUCGCCCGAACCCGUCAGCUAACUCGGUCGGCGGUCGGGAAGAAACUU